AGAAGUAAGUUGAUCAAGAAAAAGCUGCUAACUUUUAUCUUUAGUGGUUUAAUUCCAUUAAUACUUCUA
rnacentral:tRNA from 1 species